rnacentral:sRNA from 1 species
AGAGGACUCAGGUGCACACCUGCAUGGCAGAACCAGGCUCUGGGCCCAGGUGUCUGACACUGAGUAGCUCGCCUCUCCCAGGGGCGCUGGUGUGGGCCGAUGCAAGUGCCACCAUGGGUGUGUGUGUGGCUCCCUGGGCCACCUCACUCCAAUUAAGCAGGUCCAGGUGGGACAGCCUGGGACCAGCCCUGCAGCAGCAUGUGUUAACCACAACAGAUGGCUGUAGCCACCAGGCUUGUCCUUGGUGCAGUCAGCCUGGGGGCUGCGGGGGCUUGUGGAAGCAUGUGGGAAGACGGUCCCACUGGUCAGCAGAGCAGGGUCCUCACCGACCCACAGAGGAGCAUGUCACAGGACAGGCAGGCGUGUCAGGGAAGGCCAGGCUAGUGCCAGCCAAGGGCAUUGCCUCCCAGACUGCCCUUUUCCUCACACUCCCACGACACAGCCCUCAAAGCCUGUGUCCCUGUGGGUCCCUGGCCAAGGAGCAAGGGCUGCCCUGCCUGGGCCCCCCCUGCCAGCCCCUUGGUCACCUCAUGCUGUGUGCCAGGCUGGGGGAGUGUGCCAGUGUGUAUGUCCAGGUGGCAUUUGGAUGAAGACACAGGUGUGUGGUGAGGCUGUGCGGGAGGAUGGGCGUAUGCGUGCGGUGGGCAGGUGGUGUGGAGGCAGGCGGGCGGGCGUGUGGCAGCGCGCCGGCUGAGCCCCUCCACUUCCAGGUCAGCCAGAGCAGCCUCCCCAUGCUGUCCUCGCCGUCACCGGGCCAGCAGGUGCAGACCCCGCAGUCGAUGCCCCCUCCCCCCCAGCCGUCCCCGCAGCCCGGCCAGCCCAGCUCACAGCCCAACUCCAACGUCAGCUCUGGCCCUGCCCCGUCUCCCAGUAGCUUCCUGCCCAGCCCCUCACCGCAGCCCUCCCAGAGCCCAGUGACGGCGCGGACCCCACAGAACUUCAGUGUCCCCUCACCUGGACCUUUAAACACACCUGUGAACCCCAGCUCUGUCAUGAGCCCAGCUGGCUCCAGCCAGGCUGAGGAGCAGCAGUACCUGGACAAGCUGAAGCAGCUGUCGAAGUACAUCGAGCCCCUGCGCCGCAUGAUCAACAAGAUCGACAAGAACGAAGACAGAAAAAAGGACCUGAGUAAGAUGAAGAGCCUUCUGGACAUUCUGACAGACCCCUCGAAGCGGUGUCCCCUGAAGACCUUGCAAAAGUGUGAGAUCGCCCUGGAGAAACUCAAGAAUGACAUGGCGGUGCCCACUCCCCCACCGCCCCCGGUGCCACCGACCAAACAGCAGUACCUAUGCCAGCCGCUCCUGGAUGCCGUCCUGGCCAACAUCCGCUCACCUGUCUUCAACCAUUCCCUGUACCGCACAUUCGUUCCAGCCAUGACCGCCAUUCACGGCCCACCCAUCACGGCCCCAGUGGUGUGCACCCGGAAGCGCAGGCUUGAGGAUGAUGAGCGGCAGAGCAUCCCCAGUGUGCUCCAGGGUGAGGUGGCCAGGCUGGACCCCAAGUUCCUGGUAAACCUGGACCCUUCUCACUGCAGCAACAAUGGCACUGUCCACCUGAUCUGCAAGCUGGAUGACAAGGACCUCCCAAGUGUGCCACCACUGGAGCUCAGUGUCCCCGCUGACUAUCCUGCCCAAAGCCCGCUGUGGAUAGACCGGCAGUGGCAGUACGACGCCAACCCCUUUCUCCAGUCGGUGCACCGCUGCAUGACCUCCAGGCUGCUGCAGCUCCCGGACAAGCACUCGGUCACCGCCUUGCUCAACACCUGGGCCCAGAGCGUCCACCAGGCCUGCCUCUCAGCCGCCUAGCCAAGACUGCAGGGAUGGCCCGCAGCCUCAUCGGGGCCAAGGACACACGCCUCCUGUCAGACACUUCUAGGUGUUGGCUUCCUUAGAGAGCCUGGGGUUAGGUUAGCUUUCCUGCUUUUAUCUUCUGCCUUGGGGACCUGCCAAACGAAAUCCCACAGCUGUACAGAACUGGGAUAGGCGCAGUGGAGCGGGUUGUUGGGGGCCAUUGGCCGACUUCUUAGAGAAGGCCCUCCAUGUGACUUCCUCCCAGGAGCCAGAUGCCAUCCUCGGGCUGCUCUCACCGUGGCCUGUCCACAGUCCAGGUCCAUCUCAGCAGCGUGAGGGUGCACUCAGGGUGUUGUUAGAGCGUCUCGUGUGUGCUAGACACACCCCUACUCGUUCCUAUAGGAGAACACAGAGGACAUAGGAAACCCUUAAAACACACAUGGGAUUCUCUGGUCACAGUUUUGGGUUCAGGCUACGCUGCUUUGGGUAGGUGGAGCACCCCCCGAGGAAGCCCGCAAGUCCAGGGCACAGGCUGCCUUUUGGAGGGAGGGCUGGCCCAUAGGUGCUGCUGACUCCCCGCCACCAGCUGGGCCUCAGCCCUCACGGCAUUCCUGCUGAGCACCGUGGGGCACCCAGGGAGCAGGGGCGUCGGGGAUCCUGCUGCCGGCACCCCUGUGCCGCUGGCAUGAGGGCCGUGUCCCCACUGUGAAGGAUGAAGAGCAAGGCCCUCAGGACCCGUGUCCUCAGAGCACCACACACUGAGCCACCCAGAGACAGCGGGCCUGGCAGCGGGCCGGGCCAUGCAGGGAGCGCCUCCCUAUGUUGCCUGCCACUCUGGGCACCGGCCAGCACCCUCUGGUGAGAAGAGGUCCCCCCUUUUUAUGUGCACUACCCCACCAUCUGUGAUUAUAAUAAAUUUAUUAUUCCUGUGUUUGUCAGUUGUUCA